GCUGAGUACACAGCUCCUCACCUCCCCUCCCCCCGCUCUGUAUCCUAAGGACACAGGUCUGCACAGGAGAAGGACCUCAGAGAGAAGAUAAGUGUUAUCUGAAGGGGAGGAUGAGAAGCAUUUUUCACCGUACCAGCGCUGCUGACACCGGACAAGCCACGGCUGCAGAUCCAAGUUACCAUCACAUUUAUACUUGACAUCCUCUGAGGUGUUGUGCUCUUGGCGCAACCCUACAUGAUGUGCUGUCAUGAAUAAUUGCAAGGGUCAGAGACGAGACGAGGACAGGGACAUCAGUAAUAUGGAUAAUACAGUAGGAAAGAAG